GCAUAAAAAAACGCUCGGGACCAAGAGAUGAGUCCCGAGCCUAGGGGAAUGGCUCAAGGGAUUGAGCCGUGCGCUAACUCGAUAAAAUUCGAAGGUAAAAUUGAGUGUAGUCAACAAAAAAUUUUUUGCUAAAUU
rnacentral:sRNA from 1 species